rnacentral:rRNA from 1 species
ACGGAAGGCAGCAGUGGGGAAUAUUGCACAAUGGGGGAAACCCUGAUGCAGCGACGCCGCGUGAGCGAAGAAGUAUUUCGGUAUGUAAAGCUCUAUCAGCAGGGAAGAUCAUGACGGUACCUGACUAAGAAGCUCCGGCUAAAUACGUGCCAGCAGCCGCGGUAAUACGUAUGGAGCAAGCGUUAUCCGGAUUUACUGGGUGUAAAGGGAGCGUAGACGGUUUGUCAAGUCUGAUGUGAAAUUCCAGGGCUUAACCCUGGACCUGCAUUGGAAACUGUCGAACUAGAGUGUCGGAGAGGUGAGUGGAAUUCCUAGUGUAGCGGUGAAAUGCGUAGAUAUUAGGAGGAACACCAGUGGCGAAGGCGGCUCACUGGACGAUAACUGACGUUGAGGCUCGAAAGCGUGGGGAGCAAACAGGAUUAGAUACCCUGGUA